UACGAAGGGGGCUAGCGUUGCUCGGAAUCACUGGGCGUAAAGGGUGCGUAGGCGGGUCUUUAAGUCAGAGGUGAAAUCCUGGAGCUCAACUCCAGAACUGCCUUUGAUACUGAGGGUCUUGAGUAUGACAGAGGUGAGUGGAACUGCGAGUGUAGAGGUGAAAUUCGUAGAUAUUGGGAAGAACACCGGUGGCGAAGGCGGCUCACUGGCUCGUUUCUGACGCUCAGGCGCGACAGCGUGGGGAUCAAACAGG
rnacentral:rRNA from 1 species